rnacentral:tRNA from 1 species
GCUAAAUAACAUAAUUGGAAAAUGUGUAAAAUUGCAAAUUUUAAAAUAUUGGUUCAACUCCGAUUGGGUG